UACGGGGGGGGGCAAGCGUUGUUCGGAAUUACUGGGCGUAAAGGGCUCGUAGGCGGCCAACUAAGUCAGACGUGAAAUCCCUCGGCUUAACCGGGGAACUGCCUCUGAUACUGGAUGGCUUGAGUUCGGGAGAGGGAUGCGGAAUUCCAGGUGUAGCGGUGAAAUGCGUAGAUAUCUGGAGGAACACCGGUGGCGAAGGCGGCAUCCUGGACCGACACUGACGCUGAGGAGCGAAAGCCAGGGGAGCAAACGGG
rnacentral:rRNA from 1 species